rnacentral:lncRNA from 1 species
AGAUAGUAUGACCUCCAUUAAAACUGAACUAAUAAACAUUGUUGUUUAUGGGCCAGCUGAACACGCCUCCGGUUGCGGGAUUUUGUCGCUGUCUUGAAGACCUUAUGGUUUGGUUCUGCUGUUUUCCGCUCUUUGGUGAGGUUUGACAGAUUUUCAAUUUCCAUUCUCAAGUUUAUUUGUUCAAAUACCUUUAUCAACACGC